UAUUGGUUACAAUGUUUAACAAUAGGAAAUAUUCAAGAAUAAAUAAAAUAAAAGUUUAAUCCUAACAACACAAAACAUUCCAGGAAUGUAGGUACUACCGUUCUAUUCCGUGAACAUCUAUCUGAUUAAAUUAUGGGUGGAAAGUUACCACAAGAUAUUCUAUGAACAUAGUACAAUGUCUUCCUGGAGGGGUAAAAUUUUCCAUUACAAGAUUUUAAGAGAGGCCAUUUAUUGUACUGUUCAAUUUGCGUUCAUUUUCAAAUUUGCCGCGCGAGUAUCUAUGUAGCGUCUCGUGGUCAUUGGUCAUCACAUUUCAUUUUCAUAACAUAACCGAUAACCUAAAAAUUUAGUAAAAAAGUAAAAAUUUUGAUUGGAAAAAAAUGCAUCGAUAAGGGGGUGUGGGAAAUGGAAAUUAGUGGCUUUUUUGCUGUACUGUCUGCUAAUAGUUUUUGCUCUGGGCACUGGCUAGAUCUCUUGUUUAAACAAUUUUAAUCAGCUGAAAGUGGCCUACAAAAAAAAACCAAGAAGGAAAUGUAUAGCCUUGUGGCUAUGAAAGGCAAAAGAGAGAUAUAAAAAGUGUAUUGGCUAGUUGGAAGAAAGUCCACAUUGUCCAUGCAUAAUAAGUUAUUACAUUAUCAACAAAUAUCAAGAAGAUAGCAGGGUCACGAGCAUCAACUUCAUGAGUUCAAGAAUAUCGAGGAAAUCCAGCUCCUCGAUACUACUGGGCAAACUAGAAGAUUGAAGAAGACAAAUCCUUUUGAACUAGUUUGAGUGAUAGGUGAUAGUGAAAAACGGAGCAUAGUGCUUGUGUGCUGUGCCUGUGUAUGUUAGAAUAGUGCACGAUCUUGUUAGAUUAGAUAAGAGACGCUAUGGGGUAAGCUCUUCAUUUUAAGAAACAGUAGUAAUUUAGGCUAAAUUAAAAUUGCUCAUUGGUCAGUUAUGACCAGAUUGUUUUUUUAUGUUUGGCAAAAAGGACUUAAGUCAGAAUUGCACAUUGAUAAUGUUUUGAUGAUUUCUGGACCAGAAAAAAACUGUUGUAGAUGUAAACUGUAUGUACAGUAGAAUCUACUACAGUACUGUAGAAAUCAUCAAAACAUUAUCGAUGUGCAAUUCUGACUUAAGCCCUUUUUCCCAAACAUCAGAGAAUUGUAAUGUACAAUAAUUCUCCUAUCUGCUUUUUCAUGAAUUUUGUAGGAGACGAAAAACCAUUUUUAGGAUCAUCUGCUGUCACAUGUUUUGUAGUAAAUAGAUAGUUGAAUUUACUACAAAACAUGUCAAAAAAUAUAUGAAAACAGGAGGUGACUAUAAAAAAAGUUUUUAGUCUCUCUUACAAAACUCAUGAAAAAACAAAUCGGAGGUAUGUCACAUCAGUGACUAAGAAUGUCUAAAAAAUAUACUUUGAUGUCCCAAGAACCAAAUAUAACCUACAGUCCAUCUAAUUUACUUACUGUUGCACGUCAUUAUCUACGCCAGAGAUCUAAGUUGACAUAGUUGCCAAAGUAUAAAAAGAUCCUGAAUCCAUUUUAAAUCAAAAAUGUCACAUAAUUAUUGUAAACGUGGAUUAUACAACAAAACAAAUUAAUAUUCAAUGUAAAUAAGUAAAAACUUAAGAAAUAGAGAACAAGAAUUAAGUUAUAAUCUUUUAAGAUUUGCAGUGCAAGAGUUUUUGCACUGCAUUGUUAAUAAUUAAAAAACGGCUCCGAACUCUUGGCAAAAAGCCGGUAGGUUUCUUUGUAUAAGUAUGUCUACAAUAACAACUAAAAAAAUUGUGUCAGAUACCUCGAUUAUUCCAAGUCGUUAUAAAAUUAGGUGAAAUUUAUAUUUUUAUAGUAGAGGAUCUUUUUAUAGUAAAGUAAAUAAUAAAAACAGUAAAUAUAAUAAAUAAAACAGAUACUUAUAGUAAAGAAUAUAAACAAAUAUGAAGUGUCAUCACCGUAACUGUCAAAUAAAUGUUACCAAUUUAUUCUAAAAUGUCACCUUCGUUCGAUUACAGUUACAGUGUGAUCCGAACAAAUCUGCUUCAUAAAAACGCUUUAUAAUCCAUUUAUACAAAUUAAAUGAAACAUAUUAUUGUGUAUUUCUUUAGGUUAACAUUAAUAGAAAUCUUCAAAUAUUAUUUCUACGCGUAUAUAAUAAAAUAUGUCUAGUGGCUGUAAUUCCAGUGUACUCGGCAAAGUGAUUCUAAAAAAGAACACACCUACCGCCUAAAUAUUUCGUGUUGGUAUCAUGCAACCUCACAGGCUACGACGCGGAUGACGCGCAACAGUUAGUAAAUUAGACGAAGUAUGUAGAUAUAUACAGGCUGUAACAAAAAUACAGGUCAUAAAUUUAAUCACAUAUUCUGGGACCAAAAAUAGUUUGAUUGGACCUAACUUACCUUAGUACAAAUGUGCACACAAGAAAAGUUACAGCCCUUUGAAGUUAUAUAUAUAUAUAAUAGCACCAAGGGUCUUAGAGGCCCAUGGCUUGAAAAGUUUGUUUUUUUUCUUCAUUUUCACGUUUUUUUAUGUACUGAGAUCUUCUCUGGCUUGAUAUGUGAUUUUUCUCCAUUCCUUCCUGUUAUUCAUUUUUCUUUUCUGACCCUGUAGCACCAUUCUUUCCAAAUCUUUUUCGACCUCUUGCUUCCAUCUAUUUUUCGGCCUUCCUCUUCUCUUUCUUGAAGCUGUAGUGUAGUUUAGUACCAUUUUUGGAGUCCUCGUGUUUGGCAUCCUUUCAAUGUGACCUCGCCAUCUAAGUCUCUGUGCCUUUAUCAUUCAUUUGAAGUUACAAGAUGAAGUGAUUUUUUCCAAUAUAUCGAAAACUAUUAGAGAUUUUUUAUUGAAAAUGGACAUGUGGCAUUAUUAUGGCAGCA
rnacentral:lncRNA from 1 species